rnacentral:rRNA from 1 species
UACGUAGGCAGCAAGCGUUGUUCGGAAUUACUGGGCGUAAAGAGUGUGUAGGCGGUGCUCUAAGUUUGGUGUGAAAUCUCCCGGCUCAACUGGGAGGAUGCGCCGAAAACUGGAAUGCUUGAACAUGGGAGAGGAAAGCGGAAUUCCUGGUGUAGCGGUGAAAUGCGUAGAUAUCAGGAGGAACACCUGCGGUGUAGACGGCUUUCUGGACCAUUGUUGACGCUGAGACACGAAAGCGUGGGUAGCAAACAGG